rnacentral:lncRNA from 1 species
GCCAUAUACACCCACAAACAUCCCAUUUACUGGGAUUUUCUUUCUUCCAAUAAGGCAUGCUUAAAACAGUUACAGGGGAAAAAAUGGACCCAUACAACUAGGCCUGGGAGCCAGCUACACAGACAUCCUCUCAAGAAGCAUCCUAGGCCCAGACAACAGCAGGUUUGCAAAACUCAGAAGACAAAAUAAAUAGAAACUUAAAAUAAGGUGCAGAAACCUAUGGCCCUAGGAAUUGUGAAGAAUGGAGUCGGUCUGGUGUGGAGAGCUCACAGGAUGGCAGACCUGAGAGUCCUGUCUUGAGUUGACCACUACCAGCUGGGUAACCUUCGGUAAGUCAUCCCCUCGUCCCCUUGAGAGUUUGCUCAUCUGUUAAAUGAGCUAAUUAGCUAAGACAAUCCCAACAGAUCCUGUCAGAUUCGGUAUUUUUUAUACUUCUAUGGCCCUAAGGUCACAAGACUGAGAGAGUAGCGUUGAGUGUCCUAUGAGUCACAUU